GAUGAAGAACGCAGCGAAAUGCGAUACUUGGUGUGAAUUGCAGAAUCCCGUGAGCCAUCGAGUCUUUGAACGCAAGUUGCGCCUCAAGCCAUUAGGUUGAGGGCACGUCUGCCUGGACGUCACAUAUCGUUGCCUGAUGCCAGUUUCCUCGUGAUGGGUGACUGUGCAGGGCGAAUGAUGGCUUCCCGUGAGCAUUGUUGCCUCAUGGUUGGUUGAAAAUUGAGUCCUUGGUAGGGAGCGCCGUGAUAGAUGGUGGUUGAGUGACGAACGAGACCCAAUCAUGUGAGACCCCUACCGAAUUUGGCCUUCAUGACCCACAUGCGUCUUUGGAACGCUCAUGACGAGACCUCAGGUCAGGCGGGGCUACCCGCUGAGUUUAAGCAUAUCAAUAAGCGGAGG
rnacentral:misc_RNA from 1 species